CCUACGGGUGACAGCAGUGGGGAAUAUUGCGCAAUGGGGGAAACCCUGACGCAGCAACGCCGCGUGAAUGAAGAAGUCUUUCGGUUUGUAAAGCUCUAUCAGCAGGGACGAAAAUGACGGUACCUGAGUAAUAAGCCCCGGCUAACUACGUGCCAGCAGCCGCGGUAAUACGUAGGGGGCAAGCGUUAUCCGGAUUUACUGGGUGUAAAGGGAGCGUAGGCGGCCAGGUAAGUCAGAAGUGAAAGCCAAGGGCUCAACCCUGGGACUGCUUUUGAAACUGCCGGGCUGGAGUGCAGGAGAGGUAAGCGGAAUUCCUAGGGUAGCGGUGAAAUGCGUAGAUAUUAGGAGGAACACCAGUGGCGAAGGCGGCUUACUGGACUGUAACUGACGUUGAGGCGCGAAAGCGUGGGGAGCAAACAGGAUUAGAUACCCUAGUAGUC
rnacentral:rRNA from 1 species